UACGGAAGGUGCAAGCGUUGUUCGGAAUGACUGGGCGUAAAGCGCACGUAGGCGGGCUUGUAAGUCAGAUGUGAAAUCCCCAGGCUCAACCUGGGAACUGCAUUUGAAACUGCGAAUCUUGAAUGCUUGAGAGGUUGGUGGAAUUCCUGGUGUAGGAGUGAAAUCCGUAGAUAUCAGGAGGAAUAUCGGAGGCGAAGGCGGCCAACUGGCGAUGCAUUGACGCUGAGGUGCGAAAGCGUGGGGAGCAAACAGG
rnacentral:rRNA from 1 species